CAGCCGCCGCGGUAAUUCGUAGGGGGCGAACGUUGUCCGGAUUUAUUGGGCGUAAAGAGCUCGUAGGCGGCUCAGCAAGUCGGCCGUGAAAACCCGGGGCUCAACCCCGGGACGCCGGACGAAACUGCUGUGGCUAGGGUUCGGUAGAGGAGAGUGGAAUUCCCGGUGUAGCGGUGAAAUGCGCAGAUAUCGGGAGGAACACCAGUAGCGAAGGCGGCUCUCUGGGCCGAUACCGACGCUGAGGAGCGAAAGCUAGGGGAGCAAACAGGAUUAGAUACCCUGGUAGUCCUAGCCGUAAACGUUGGGCACUAGGUGUGGCGGACUCAUUGACGUCUGCCGUGCCGCAGCUAACGCAUUAAGUGCCCCGCCUGGGGAGUACGGUCGCAAGGCUAAAACUUAAAGGAAUUGACGG
rnacentral:rRNA from 1 species